GAUGAAGAACGUAGCGAAAUGCGAUACGUAAUGUGAAUUGCAGAAUUCAGUGAAUCAUCGAAUCUUUGAACGCACAUUGCGCCUGCCAGCACUCUGGCAGGCAUGCCUGUUCGAGCAUCAUUUCAACCAUCAAGCCCUAGGCUUGCGUUGGAGCCCUGCGGCUGCCGCAGGCCCCUAAAAGCAGUGGCGGGCUCGCUAUCACACCGAGUGCAGUAGAUUACUCUUCGCUCAGGGCGUGUGGCGGGUUCCAGCCGUGAAACCCCCUACUUCUCAAGGUUGACCUCGGAUCAGGUAGGAAUACCCGCUGAACUUAAGCAUAUCAAUAAGCGGAGGA
rnacentral:misc_RNA from 1 species